GGAAGAUAGCUCAGUGGUUAAGAGCACUGACUGUUUUUCCAGAGAUCCUGAGUUCAACUCCCAGCAACCA
rnacentral:tRNA from 1 species